UGUUUAUACCAGAAGCCGGUGACCUAACCUUCGGGAAGGAGCCGUCCAAGGUAUGAGCGGUGAUUGGGGUGAAGUCGUAACAAGGUAGCCGUAGGUGAACCUGCAGAAGGAUCA
rnacentral:rRNA from 1 species